rnacentral:rRNA from 1 species
UACGUAGGGACCAAGCGUUGUCCGGAAUCAUUGGGCGUAAAGCGCGCGUAGGUGGCCAUUUAAGUCCGCUGUGAAAGUCAGAGGCUCAACCUUUGAAAGCCGGUGGAUACUGGAUGGCUAGAGUACGGAAGAGGCGAGUGGAAUUCCUGGUGUAGCGGUGGAAUGCGCAGAUAUCAGGAGGAACACCAAUAGCGAAGGCAGCGCGCUGGGACGUUACUGACGCUAAGGCGCGAAAGCGUGGGGAGCGAACAGG